rnacentral:rRNA from 2 species
UGGUGGGUAGUUUGACUGGGGCGGUCUCCUCCUAAAGAGUAACGGAGGAGCACGAAGGUUGGCUAAUCCUGGUCGGACAUCAGGAGGUUAGUGCAAUGGCAUAAGCCAGCUUGACUGCGAGCGUGACGGCGCGAGCAGGUGCGAAAGCAGGUCAUAGUGAUCCGGUGGUUCUGAAUGGAAGGGCCAUCGCUCAACGGAUAAAAGGUACUCCGGGGAUAACAGGCUGAUACCGCCCAAGAGUUCAUAUCGACGGCGGUGUUUGGCACCUCGAUGUCGGCUCAUCACAUCCUGGGGCUGAAGUAGGUCCCAAGGGUAUGGCUGUUCGCCAUUUAAAGUGGUACGCGAGCUGGGUUUAGAACGUCGUGAGACAGUUCGGUCCCUAUCUGCCGUGGGCGCUGGAGAACUGAGGGGGGCUGCUCCUAGUACGAGAGGACCGGAGUGGACGCAUCACUGGUGUUCGGGUUGUCAUGCCAAUGGCACUGCCCGGUAGCUAAAUGCGGAAGAGAUAAGUGCUGAAAGCAUCUAAGCACGAAACUUGCCCCGAGAUGAGUUCUCCCUGAGACUUUAGGUCUCCUGAAGGAACGUUGAAGACGACGACGUUGAUA